AGCGUACACGGUGGAUGCCCUGGCAGUCAGAGGCGAUGAAGGACGUGCUAAUCUGCGAAAAGCGCCGGCGAGGUGAUAUGAACCUUUGACCCGGCGAUGUCCGAAUGGGGAAACCCAGUGCAAUCCGUUGCACUAUCGUUAACUGAAUACAUAGGUUAACGAGGCGAACCGGGGGAACUGAAACAUCUAAGUACCCCGAGGAAAAGAAAUCAACCGAGAUUCCCCCAGUAGCGGCGAGCGAACGGGGAGCAGCCCGGAGUCUGAAUCAGCUUGUGUGUUAGUGGAACGGUCUGGAAAGUCCGACGGUACAGGGUGAUAGUCCCGUACACGAAAGCACACUUGCUGUGAACUCGAAGAGUAGGGCGGGACACGUGGUAUCCUGUCUGAAUAUGGGGGGACCAUCCUCCAAGGCUAAAUACUCCUGACUGACCGAUAGUGAACCAGUACCGUGAGGGAAAGGCGAAAAGAACCCCGGCGAGGGGAGUGAAAAAGAACCUGAAACCGUGUACGUACAAGCAGUGGGAGCCUCUUUAUGGGGUGACUGCGUACCUUUUGUAUAAUGGGUCAGCGACUUAUAUUCUGUAGCAAGGUUAACCGUAUAGGGGAGCCGAAGGGAAACCGAGUCUUAACUGGGCGUUAAGUUGCAGGGUAUAGACCCGAAACCCGGUGAUCUAGCCAUGGGCAGGUUGAAGGUUGGGUAACACUAACUGGAGGACCGAACCGACUAAUGUUGAAAAAUUAGCGGAUGACCUGUGGCUGGGGGUGAAAGGCCAAUCAAACCGGGAGAUAGCUGGUUCUCCCCGAAAGCUAUUUAGGUAGCGCCUCGUGAACUCAUCUUCGGGGGUAGAGCACUGUUUCGGCUAGGGGGCCAUCCCGGCUUACCAACCCGAUGCAAACUACGAAUACCGAAGAAUGUUAUCACGGGAGACACACGGCGGGUGCUAACGUCCGUCGUGAAGAGGGAAACAACCCAGACCGCCAGCUAAGGUCCCAAAGUCAUGGUUAAGUGGGAAACGAUGUGGGAAGGCACAGACAGCCAGGAUGUUGGCUUAGAAGCAGCCAUCAUUUAAAGAAAGCGUAAUAGCUCACUGGUCGAGUCGGCCUGCGCGGAAGAUGUAACGGGGCUAAACCAUGCACCGAAGCUGCGGCAGCGACGCUUAGGCGUUGUUGGGUAGGGGAGCGUUCUGUAAGCCGUUGAAGGUGUGCUGUGAGGCAUGCUGGAGGUAUCAGAAGUGCGAAUGCUGACAUAAGUAACGAUAAAGCGGGUGAAAAGCCCGCUCGCCGGAAGACCAAGGGUUCCUGUCCAACGUUAAUCGGGGCAGGGUGAGUCGACCCCUAAGGCGAGGCCGAAAGGCGUAGUCGAUGGGAAACAGGUUAAUAUUCCUGUACUUGGUGUUACUGCGAAGGGGGGACGGAGAAGGCUAUGUCAGCCGGGCGACGGUUGUCCCGGUUUAAGCAUGUAGGCGGAGGUUCCAGGUAAAUCCGGUACCUUAUUAACGCUGAGGUGUGAUGACGAGGCACUACGGUGCUGAAGUGAUAAAUGCCCUGCUUCCAGGAAAAGCCUCUAAGCAUCAGGUAACACGAAAUCGUACCCCAAACCGACACAGGUGGUCAGGUAGAGAAUACCAAGGCGCUUGAGAGAACUCGGGUGAAGGAACUAGGCAAAAUGGUGCCGUAACUUCGGGAGAAGGCACGCUGAUAUGUAGGUGAAGUCCCUGCGGACGGAGCUGAAAUCAGUCGAAGAUACCAGCUGGCUGCAACUGUUUAUUAAAAACACAGCACUGUGCAAACACGAAAGUGGACGUAUACGGUGUGACGCCUGCCCGGUGCCGGAAGGUUAAUUGAUGGGGUUAGCGGCAACGCGAAGCUCUUGAUCGAAGCCCCGGUAAACGGCGGCCGUAACUAUAACGGUCCUAAGGUAGCGAAAUUCCUUGUCGGGUAAGUUCCGACCUGCACGAAUGGCGUAAUGAUGGCCAGGCUGUCUCCACCCGAGACUCAGUGAAAUUGAACUCGCUGUGAAGAUGCAGUGUACCCGCGGCAAGACGGAAAGACCCCGUGAACCUUUACUAUAGCUUGACACUGAACACUGGUCCUUGAUGUGUAGGAUAGGUGGGAGGCUUUGAAGCGUGGACGCCAGUCUGCGUGGAGCCAACCUUGAAAUACCACCCUUUAAUGGCUGGUGUUCUAACGUAGACCCGUAAUCCGGGUUGCGGACAGUGUCUGGUGGGUAGUUUGACUGGGGCGGUCUCCUCCCAAAGAGUAACGGAGGAGCACGAAGGUUGGCUAAUCCUGGUCGGACAUCAGGAGGUUAGUGCAAUGGCAUAAGCCAGCUUGACUGCGAGCGUGACGGCGCGAGCAGGUGCGAAAGCAGGUCAUAGUGAUCCGGUGGUUCUGAAUGGAAGGGCCAUCGCUCAACGGAUAAAAGGUACUCCGGGGAUAACAGGCUGAUACCGCCCAAGAGUUCAUAUCGACGGCGGUGUUUGGCACCUCGAUGUCGGCUCAUCACAUCCUGGGGCUGAAGUAGGUCCCAAGGGUAUGGCUGUUCGCCAUUUAAAGUGGUACGCGAGCUGGGUUUAGAACGUCGUGAGACAGUUCGGUCCCUAUCUGCCGUGGGCGCUGGAGAAUUGAGGGGGGCUGCUCCUAGUACGAGAGGACCGGAGUGGACGCAUCACUGGUGUUCGGGUUGUCAUGCCAAUGGCACUGCCCGGUAGCUAAAUGCGGAAGAGAUAAGUGCUGAAAGCAUCUAAGCACGAAACUUGCCCCGAGAUGAGUUCU
rnacentral:rRNA from 1 species